rnacentral:rRNA from 1 species
CCCGCUCAGAAACUCAAAUGAAUUGACGGGGCCCGCACAAGCGGUGGAGUAUGUGGUUUAAUUCGAUGCAACGCGAAGAACCUUACCUGGUCUUGACAUCCCGGAGACCCUUAGGAAACUAGGGGUGCUUCCAUCUGGAAGAAUCUGGAGACAGGUGCUGCAUGGCUGUCGUCAGCUCGUGUCGUGAGAUGUUGGGUUAAGUCCCGCAACGAGCGCAACCCUUGCCUUUAGUUGCCAGCAGUUCGGCUGGGCACUCUAAAGGGACUGCCGGUGUUAAACCGGAGGAAGGUGGGGAUGACGUCAAGUCCUCAUGGCCUUUAUGACCAGGGCUACACACGUACUACAAUGGCCGAUACAAAGGGCAGCGACACUGCGAGGUGAAGCCAAUCCCGUAAAAUCGGUCUCAGUCCGGAUUGGAGUCUGCAACUCGACUCCAUGAAGUUGGAAUCGCUAGUAAUCGUGGAUCAGCAUGCCACGGUGAAUACGUUCCCGGGCCUU